UUGGCCUACGGGACGCAGCAGUGGGGAAUAUUGCACAAUGGGGGGAACCCUGAUGCAGCGACGCCGCGUGAGUGAAGAAGUAUUUCGGUACGUAAAGCUCUAUCAGCAGGGAAGAAAAAAGGACGGUACCUGAGUAAGAAGCCCCGGCUAACUACGUGCCAGCAGCCGCGGUAAUACGUAGGGGGCAAGCGUUAUCCGGAAUUACUGGGUGUAAAGGGAGCGUAGACGGCUGUGCAAGUCUGGAGUGAAAGGCGGGGGCCCAACCCCCGGACUGCUCUGGAAAC
rnacentral:rRNA from 1 species